GCCACCGUAGCUCAGUUGGUAGAGCAAACGAUUCGUAAUCGUUAGGUCACGAGUUCGACUCUCGUCGGUGGCU
rnacentral:tRNA from 1 species